UACGGAGGGGGCUAGCGUUGUUCGGAAUUACUGGUCGUAAAGCGUACGUAGGCGGCUUUGUAAGUUAGAGGUGAAAGCCCGGGGCUCAACUCCGGAAUUGCCUUUAAGACUGCAUCGCUUGAAUCAUGGAGAGGUGAGUGGAAUUCCGAGUGUAGAGGUGAAAUUCGUAGAUAUUCGGAAGAACACCAGUGGCGAAGGCGACUCACUGGACAUGUAUUGACGCUGAGGUACGAAAGCGUGGGGAGCAAACAGG
rnacentral:rRNA from 1 species